rnacentral:piRNA from 1 species
UGAUGUCAUAUACUUUCAAAGGUCCC